AUUAAGGUCCUCUGGAUUGUAAACUUCUUUUAUCUGGGACGAAAAAAGGUCUUUCUAGACCCCUUGACGGUACCAUAUGAAUAAGCACCGGCUAACUCCGUGCCAGCAGCCGCGGUAAUACGGAGGGUGCAAGCGUUAUCCGGAUUCACUGGGUUUAAAGGGUGCGUAGGCGGGCAGGUAAGUCAGUGGUGAAAUCCUGGAGCUCAACUCCAGAACUGCCAUUGAUACUAUCUGUCUUGAAUAUUGUGGAGGUAAGCGGAAUAUGUCAUGUAGCGGUGAAAUGCUUAGAUAUGACAUAGAACACCCAUUGCGAAGGCAGCUUACUACGCAUAUAUUGACGC
rnacentral:rRNA from 1 species